GUACACAAAAAUGCACAUGCUGUGAGCUCGAUGAGUAGGGCGGGACACGUGGUAUCCUGUCUGAAUAUGGGGGGACCAUCCUCCAAGGCUAAAUACUCCUGACUGACCGAUAGUGAACCAGUACCGUGAGGGAAAGGCGAAAAGAACCCCGGCGAGGGGAGUGAAAAAGAACCUGAAACCGUGUACGUACAAGCAGUGGGAGCACGCUUAGGCGUGUGACUGCGUACCUUUUGUAUAAUGGGUCAGCGACUUAUAUUCUGUAGCAAGGUUAACCGAAUAGGGGAGCCGAAGGGAAACCGAGUCUUAACUGGGCGUUAAGUUGCAGGGUAUAGACCCGAAACCCGGUGAUCUAGCCAUGGGCAGGUUGAAGGUUGGGUAACACUAACUGGAGGACCGAACCGACUAAUGUUGAAAAAUUAGCGGAUGACUUGUGGCUG
rnacentral:rRNA from 1 species